rnacentral:rRNA from 1 species
UACGUAGGGUGCGAGCGUUAAUCGGAAUUACUGGGCGUAGAGCGUGCGCAGGCGGUUCGUUAUGUCCGAUGUGAAAGCCCCGAGCUCAACUUGGGAAUGGCAUUGGAAACUGGCGGGCUGGAGUGUGGCAGAGGGGGGUGGAAUUCCACGUGUAGCAGUGAAAUGCGUAGAGAUGUGGAGGAACACCGAUGGCGAAGGCAGCCCCCUGGGCCAACACUGACGCUCAGGCACGAAAGCGUGGGGAGCAAACAGG